rnacentral:RNase_P_RNA from 1 species
GGAGUAUCUAAUCCAGCCGCCGGCGCAUCGCGCGGGAGGAAAGUCCGGGCUCCAAAGGGCAGGAUGCAGGAGAAAUUCCUGCGGGUGCGAACCCAGGGAAAGUGCCGCAGAAAAGCAAACCGCCGCGGCGACGCGGUAAGGGUGAAAAGGCGGGGUAAGAGCCCACCGGCCGUCAGGGGAACCUGCGGGCCUGGCAAACCCCAUCCGGAGCAAGGUCGAAUAGGGAAGGCUGAGGCGGCCCGCUGACUUCCGGGUACGACCGCUCAUUCCCGUAUGCAAGUACGGGGUUAGAUAAAUGGCUGGAGGGAGCGCAAGCUCUUUACAAAACCCGGCUUACUGGGUGCUCCGUAC